GAUGAACGCUGGCGGCGUGCCUAAUACAUGCAAGUCAAGCGAACAGACGAGGAGCUUGCUCCUCUGACGUUAGCGGCGGACGGGUGAGUAACACGUGGAUAACCUACCUAUAAGACUGGGAUAACUUCGGGAAACCGGAGCUAAUACCGGAUAAUAUAUUGAACCGCAUGGUUCAAUAGUGAAAGACGGUUUUGCUGUCACUUAUAGAUGAAUCCGCGCCGCAUUAGCUAGUUGGUAAGGUAACGGCUUACCAAGGCAACGAUGCGUAGCCGACCUGAGAGGGUGAUCGGCCACACUGGAACUGAGACACGGUCCAGACUCCUACGGGAGGCAGCAGUAGGGAAUCUUCCGCAAUGGGCGAAAGCCUGACGGAGCAACGCCGCGUGAGUGAUGAAGGUCUUCGGAUCGUAAAACUCUGUUAUUAGGGAAGAACAAAUGUGUAAGUAACUAUGCACGUCUUGACGGUACCUAAUCAGAAAGCCACGGCUAACUACGUG
rnacentral:rRNA from 1 species